rnacentral:rRNA from 1 species
AGUGAACGCUGGCGGUAGGCCUAACACAUGCAAGUCGAACGGCAGCACAGUAAGAGCUUGCUCUUACGGGUGGCGAGUGGCGGACGGGUGAGGAAUACAUCGGAAUCUACUUUUUCGUGGGGGAUAACGUAGGGAAACUUACGCUAAUACCGCAUACGACCUACGGGUGAAAGCAUGGGAUCUUCGGACCUUGCGCGAUUGAAUGAGCCGAUGUCGGAUUAGCUAGUUGGCGGGGUAAAGGCCCACCAAGGCGACGAUCCGUAGCUGGUCUGAGAGGAUGAUCAGCCACACUGGAACUGAGACACGGUCCAGACUCCUACGGGAGGCAGCAGUGGGGAAUAUUGGACAAUGGGCGCAAGCCUGAUCCAGCAAUACCGCGUGGGUGAAGAAGGACUUCGGGUUGUAAAGCCCUUUUGUUGGGAAAGAAAAGCAGCAGGUUAAUACCACGCUGUUCUGACGGUACCCAAAGAAUAAGCACCGGCUAACUUCGUG